rnacentral:rRNA from 1 species
AACGAACGCUGGCGGCAUGCCUAACACAUGCAAGUCGAACGAGACCUUCGGGUCUAGUGGCGCACGUGUGCGUAACGCGUGGGAACCUGCCCUUAGGUUCGGAAUAACUCCCCGAAAGGGGUGCUAAUACCGGUUAAUGUCUUCGGACCAAAGAUUUAUCGCCUUUGGAUGGGCCCGCGUUGGAUUAGCUAGUUGGUAGGGGAAAAGCCUACCAAGGCGAGGAUCCAUAGCUGGUCUGAGAGGAUGAUCAGCCACACUGGGAAUGAGACACGGCCCAGACUCCUACGGGGGGCAGCAGUGGGGAAUAUUGGACGAGGGGCGAAAGCCUGAUCCAGCAACGCCGCGGGAGUGAUGAAGGCCUUAGGGUUGUAAAGCUCUUUUACCCGGGAUGAUAAUGACAGUACCGGGAGAAUAAGCACCGGCUAACUCCGUG